rnacentral:rRNA from 1 species
GACAGAGGUCUCGAGCGUUAGGCGGAAUCACUGGGCUUAAAGCGUGUGUAGGCGGACUUGUAAGUACCUUGUGAAAUCCCACGGCUCAACCGUGGAACUGCUUGGUAUACUGCUUGUCUUGGGCCAGCUAGAGGUUACCGGAACAAACGGUGGAGCGGUGAAAUGCGUAGAUAUCGUCAGGAAUGCCGGUGGUGAAGACGGGUGACUGGGCUGGUUCUGACACUGAGGCACGAAAGCGUGGGGAGCGAACGGG